GGAGUAUUCCAUCAGGUACUGGU
rnacentral:miRNA from 1 species